GUUUCUGUACUACCCCGCCUCCCACCCCCAGUUCCUGGAUUGAAAUCCUAGGGCCCAUUGUGAUGGUAUUGGGAGGUGGGGCCUUUGGGAGGUGAUUAGGUCAUGAGGGUGGAGCUUUCAUGAAUGGGAUUGAUUCAUGUGUCUCUUAUAAGACUCCACACGGUUCCCCCUGCCCCACCUUUCUACCAUUUGAAGACCCAGUAAGAAGGUGCUGGCUGUGAACCAGGAACAGAGAGCCCUCACCAAAACACAGCCAUGCUAGCUCCUUGAUCUUGGAAUUCCCAGCCUGCAGAGCUUUGUAUCCUGGAAAAAAAAACAUCACAUGGCAGAGGCAGAAAUGUUUACUUCUAAGAAACAGUAGGACAGAUCUGAUUGAUUUGGACUGAGGCAUACUGACAAUUCAACAGUAGCUGGCUGAAAUUGCCUUUUCCAACUGAAAUAGGCAAGCCUCGUCGAGAGCACUGUAGUCAGCCCGCACCUGCUGCAGGAAUCCUUUGCAGUACUUCCGAGGCAACGCGCAUCUUGGAGCAACAUGUUUGCACUUAGGACUUCGUUUUGCUUUAACUUUGGCAAAGAUUUGCCCUGAGUCUGAGGCCAGGAAGGAAGUCAUUUAGGCCCCAGAAGGACGAAUUCAUCUUGACUGCAGGUGCUGACAAGUUUCCAGAGGAUUUCUAUCAAGUCACACUCUCAGAAACCUGACAAUUAUCAGAUCUCCGCACGCUUGUCAGCAUUUGCUUUGCCGAAGGAACGCUAUGAACAAAGCAUGCAGGCAUGAAUGUGUGUCAUAUUCUCAGGGAAGGGCGAGCAUAACAGAAAAACCAGACCCAAGCUGUUCCAGACACAUGAUGUUAUUUCUUCAAGACCUCCCAAAACAGGAGACUCCACCACCUUCUCAGUCCAUUUCAACAUCUACUGAUACUUACAGCCUGGAAUUCUGUGUCUCUAAACCAAGUAUCAUGUGCUGCUUUAAGAUGAAACCUGCUAUGCUUGUUCCAUAGUCAAAAAAAUAAAAAUUCUGGUUAUCAUUCUCUUCAA